rnacentral:rRNA from 1 species
UGCGUAGGCGGCUUUGUAAGUCAGAGGUGAAAGCCCAUAGCUUAACUGUGGAAUUGCCCCUGAUACUGUGGAGCUUGAAUCAGGUUGAGGUAAGCGGAAUGUGGCGUGUAGCGGUGAAAUGCUUAGAUAUGCCAUAGAACACCAAUUGCGAAGGCAGCUUACUGGACCUGUAUUGACGCUGAGGCACGAAAGCGUGGGGAGCGAACAGGAUUAGAUACCCUGGUAGUCC